ensembl:lncRNA
UUUUUUGUUUUUUUGUUUUUGCCUUUUUAGAGCUGCACCCACAGCAUAUGGAGGUUCCCAGGUUAAGGGUUCAAUUGGAGCUGUAGCCACUGGCCUACACCACAGCCACAGCAAUGCCACAUCUGAGCCUUGUCUGCGACCUAUACCACAGCUCACUGAAAGGCCGGAUCCUUAGCCCACUGAGUGAGGCCAGGGAUCGAACCCAAAUCUUCGUGGAUACUAGUCCGGUUUGUUAACCGCUGAACCACGAUGGGAACUCCUGCACUGUUCAGUCUUAAGUGCUACCAAAGGGAAAGAAGUAAGGCUUUGCAAAGUGUCGACAGAGACUUAACAUGCAUGUACAGGGAUGCAGGCUGUAAUCAUAGUUGAUGUGUGUAGGCGCAGGACCCAAAGACCAGUGGAAUUUUCCUUCUGAGAGGCUGAGGCUGGGGUAAUUUUCCUGACUAAUUUGAAACUGGGAACAGUUCCUGUAAAUUGCUGUAAUCCGAGCCCAUCUGCAAAGAGGCAGAAGACCUACGGGCCUGUUGCUGUCAUCCAAGCUCAUUUUAGCAACAAAAAUCUAAAUCCUCAUUUGCUGGUGAUGGUUCUCUCCAGAGAAGGACUGAAGCCAGGUCAAGGCAAGGCCGCGUUUGAUGGCCACACCCAUGGCAUGGCCCACAGCUGUCAUUACCAGUCUAUGAGUCCCCAUCCUCGAACCUCCCAUGACUUGCUCUUUUAUUAACUUGCCCUCUCUUGCUUCUUUCUCCUGCUUUCUAACCAGCUGUUUGUUUAGCAGCGGGACAUGCUGACUUCCCAGCAUGGCACAGAGAUAAAAGGUGAGGAAAGGGGGCAGGGCCUCACUGCCUUGUGAGGGUCUAGCUAGACCACAUGGUUCAGCCUGUUUUCCCCAAGCACAUUUUUUUUUUUAAUUUUUUAUUUUUGGGGCCGCACCCAAGGCAUAUGGAGAUUCUCAGGCUAGUGGUCAAAUCAGAGCCACAGCUGCCGGCCUACACCACAGCCACAGCAACAUGAGAUCUGAGCCGCGUCUUCAACCUAUACCACAGCUCAAGGCAAUGCUGGAUCCUUAGCCUACUGAUCAAGGCCAGGGAUUGAACCUGCAACCCGCAACCUCAUGGUUCCUAGUUGAAUUCAUUUCCACUGUGCCAGGAUAGGAACUCCCCCA